AUUGAACGCUGGCGGCAGGCCUAACACAUGCAAGUCGAACGAGUGGCGGACGGGUGAGUAAUGUGUGGGAAACUGCCUGAUGGAGGGGGAUAACUACUGGAAACGGUCGCUAAUACCGCAUACCAUCAGAUGCGCCCAGAUGGGAUUAACUAGUUGGUGGGGUAACGGCUCACCAAGGCACAGAUCCCUAGCGGGUCUGAGAGGAUGACCAUCCACACUGGAACUGAGACACGGUCCAGACUCCUACGGGAGGCAGCAGUGGGGAAUAUUGCACAAUGGGCUCAAGCCUGAUGCUGCCCUGCCGCGUGUAUGAAGAUGGCCUUCGGGUUGUAAAGUACUUUCAGCGGGGAGGCGUUACCCGCAGAAGAAGCACCGGCUAACUCCGUGCCAGCAGCCGCGGUAAUUC
rnacentral:rRNA from 1 species